UACAGAGACUGCAAGCGUUAUUCGGAUUCACUGGGCGUAAAGGGUGCGCAGGCGGCCGAGUGUGUGAGGCGUGAAAGCCUGGAGCUUAACUCCAGAAUUGCACCUCAAACUACACGGCUAGAGCAUUGGAGAGGGUAGCAGAAUUCAUGGUGUAGCAGUGAAAUGCGUAGAUAUCGGGAAGAACACCCGUGGCGAAGGCGGCUCUCUGGGACGGUACUGACGCUGAGACGCGAAAGCGUGGGGAGCGAACAGG
rnacentral:rRNA from 1 species